rnacentral:lncRNA from 1 species
AGAGAGCUGAGUGCAGCAGACCUGGACUCAGCCUGGGGCUCUCUGGGCACUGGGUGUGUUUCCAGGAGGGACCCCAGGAACAGAGUUGCCACUUGUCUGGCACAAAGACAUGCCACGCAUCAGCCACAAAGACACCCCUGACUCUCCUCAGUCAUGUGGCCAAUUUUGACCCCCCAUGAACAUCUCACAAAUUUCUGCCAUUACCACCUGUUUCUGUCAUCAUUUUCCUCCUACUCACCUCAUUUCUAUGAAGCAAGCAGACAGAGGUGGAAAUAAUGAGUGUCUUAGGAAGUAAUUUUCAGAGAGCAGACUCCUUAGUCCUUCCACAUCUCAUAAUUUAAGCCUCUUUGGAUGAUUUAUAAACAUGCAGUGUGUACGUGGUGUUAGUUCAUCCUGCUGUGGAGUAGCUGCUUUGUUCUCAGACACAGUCCAGCCUUCAGUAGAGGAGUAGCAUGCAAUAGGUGUGAGUAGACUACUCUGAGCAUCCUGAAACUUGUUCACGUUGAAAGAAACUAUCCAGGAUCCAGUUAGUCCCCCAUCGCAGCCCUGCGUCCCCACCUGAAGCAACACACCAUACAUCCUUGAGCUGAGUAUUCUUCUCGGAGAAAGAAGCACCAAAUACAGACCAGCACAGGACAGGACGGGAUCAUCACGGCACACCCUAAAUGACUGUUUGGUCCAGAUACAUCUGAUUCCAAAAAGCAACAACUACAGUCAUGAUCUUGUACUUCCCAAUCCUACCAAAGUGCUCAGGGCAUAGAAAGUGUUGAUUAAAUGUUGAAUGGAGAAAAAGCAAUAAGACGAUACACAGUGUCUUGGAGAAAGUGAAAUACAGGUGAGCAUUUCCUCAUAUUCUAGGUCUCAGAAAAUACGUAAGUAAAUAAUAAAAGGGUGCCAAAGCUGUGAUAUGGUAUAGAAUAUUUCUCACUGAUGUGGUUUGGAUCUGUGUCCCCACCCAAAUCUCAUAUCAAAUUGUAAUCCCCAGUGCUGAAGGUGGGGCCUAGUGGGAGGUGGAUGGAUCAUGGGGCUGGUUUCUAAUGGUUUAGCAGCAUCCACUUAGUGUGUUCUCAUGAUAAGGAGUCCUCACAAGAUCUGGUUGUUUAAAAGUGUGUAGCGCUGCCCACUUGUCUCUCUCUCCUGCUCUGGCCUGGUAACAUGAGCCUGCUUCACCUUCGCCUUCUGCCAUGAUCGUAAAUUUCUUGAGACCUCCCCAGAAGCUGAGCAGAUGCUAGCCUCAUGCUUCCUGUACACCCUGUGGAACUGUGAGCCAAUUAGACCUCUUUUCCUUAUAAAUUACCUGGUCUCAGAUAUUUCUUUAUGGCAAUGUGAGAACGACCUAAUACUAAGGAAUGGUUAUGAGGAGCAAAUGGUAGAAUGAAAUAAUCCCUGAGCUAAUUAUCCAUUCAGCUGUCUCAGCUCUUGUUAACUCAGUCCUUUCAUUAACACACCUGACCUCAGUUUCCUCAUUUGUUUUAAGGGUAUUGAAAUUACUGGAUUUCUGCAGUCUCUAAAAUACUAUGAACCUUGAAAUGCUAUAAUCUAGCUUUUAAACUUUUUAAAAAGAAGCAACAAUUUCUUUGAUAAACUUUUAUGAGAAACCAUCAUUUGAAAAAAAUAAAAAUAAAUAAAAGCCAAUAUUGUUGAGGUUUCAGAGAAGGUUCCUAUUAAAUUAAAAGAAAGAAAGAAAGAAAGGAACUCUCUCCUCUAUACCCAAAGAAACUGAGAAGUAAGUUAAGAAAAAAAAAAUUAAAUAUAGAGGCAAAAAUGGAGUUUGAGGGAGUAGCUAUAACUCUUAAGAGAAAAAUGGGCUUUGCUAACACUUAAUCCCCAAGUUAGGCAGACACCGCCACCCAGUAGCAGGCAGUGCUGAGCUAGGACAAACCUCGAGUCAUAGAGAGUUUGGGGGCACAACCUGACCAGGUACUCAGUAUUUCCUUG